UAAAAAGUAAGCUAAAUUUUAAGCUGUUGGGUUCAUACCCCAAAAAUGGUUUAACCCUUUUUAA
rnacentral:tRNA from 1 species